rnacentral:lncRNA from 1 species
CUCAGGGGUUUUAGCUCAGUUCUCCAGCCUGAUUAACCAAUAAUGUUUCUUUCAUGUCUGUUCGAGUAAUACUCUACUCCUUCCUGCAUCUGUGGGCUGCUGAGUGUGUUAGACUAAGCACAGAUGACACAAAUGCAACUUUUUGGACUUGAGUUUACACCUGCCAAGUUGGUGCACAAACACGGUGCUUGUAUGUGUACGCAAAAGUGUGUGUUGGUUUAUGCCCUGUAUGUAUGUAUGUGUUUUUGGCUGGCUGCGGGUUGGAUGCUCAGCCGUGAGUGGUCACUGAUUUCCUCCUCAGCUGGUUGUGCUCUACAGGUGGUGAUCCUGUAGCACAGAUGUUAAGGGUUCUAGAAUUACUGGAAGUAGGGAGGAGAAAGGCUUGUUUGGGUACCCACUACAAGAUUGGAGAAGGGCUACCUGUCUCUGAAGAAGAUCAUGUGCUGUACAACAGGCAUUGCCACCUCCUGGCUGAGUUCUUCAGGCAGAAGCACAGAGCAAAUAUCACCUGCCGUUCCCCUGCUAUUUCAGUAGGUGCACUCUGGAUUCCUGUUGGUAGCUUGCAGAGGUGCUUCUGGUUGCACAUUUGAAGCCUGUAAGUUUCGUAAGUAGCUGUCACCCUACAGAAGUGUGUUCAGCCCUGCUGCAAAGAAUUAUGUGUGUUUGGGGUUUUUCUGCUCACAAGGUUUUUCCAGUUUUUCGGUCAGGCUUCCAUCCCAGAUGUGCAGUCAGUGGUGUAUCUCCUCUUGCUUCACCUUGGAAGUGAAGUAGGGGAAAUGGUACAUUUUCAAAAUAAUUUACAGCGAUUAUUAUGUUUUUUUUUUUAAGACUAG